rnacentral:misc_RNA from 1 species
GUUAUAAUUUUUAUAAUUUUCUGAGAUUCCACAUAGAUAACAAGAGUUUAAAAGUUGCACUCCGGCAGGCACCUGAAAGGCCUGAGGGACUCCACUAGCGGGAGACCGCCUACCGAAGCACGACAGUGGGUAGAUUCACAAUUGGUGUAAGGAGACGUCUUUCGACGAUCCUGUAAUGAUCCCUCCGCUGGUUCACCAACGGAGA